GGACACCAAGGCACUCCAGAAACCUCCUGAAUUGCUUGCAGCAUUGCAAGUUGUCCUUCCAACAUACUUCAAAGUUGGUUAAAGUCCUUCGUGAGAACCAGGGACCAUGAUCCCGAUGGUUCCUCAGACUGUUUAAAGAAGACUUGUCCACUACCUUGUCUCUACCAGAUGUCCCUGUUGGUCUCCCCUCUGAUCUUCUGCAUGAGCUCUUGGCUAGCCCAUUGCCUCAUCGAUAGCAGGGUGCCAGGCAUUUGAACCUCUUCCUCACAUAGAGCGCAAAUCCCCCCUCGUCUUUGUCCUUUCUUCCUGUCCUUCUGAAAGACCUGUAGAUGACAGCACUGCAGUUGUGCUAUUUAUCUGAAAGACAAGGCUCUAAAAUAUACCAAUGUGACUCUAUUACUAUCUCUGAGGAAGCAUGGUAAUUGGAAAUCGAGAGACAAGUAAAUCAGGAUUACUUAAGAGAUGCUGCAGACUCUUAGUCGCUGCCCAGACAUAAAGUCCAAAUGCACUGAAAUCCUGAGCGCUCAUGUUCUAGGAGGUCCUUAAUUAGAUGAGUUUUCUACAGAACAUUAUUCAUCGAUUGUUAGAGAUGAUUAAUCUCUAGUAUCAGAGUAUUGCAUAUUGGAUCACCCAGAUUAUAUAUUAUCGGAUUAUUAUUAUUAUUAUUAUUAUUACAAAUUAGCUAUAGGCCAUCUAUCCUCUGUGUUAUUGACUCUACUCAUAUUCCUUUCAGGCUUGAAAGCAGUUCAUGAAAACCGAAAAUGUUGUUGCUCUCAUGAUGCCCGUGAUUAUUACACCCAUGUGCGCGGCAACGACUGUUGCACUCCGAGGUGCUCAGCCUUGGCAGCAGAGUAAAAGGGUCAUUAGAUAUUGGCUGUGUUCCUGCCAGGAGUCAAUCAGCUUAUAGUAGCAUUAGGACUCCUGUAUUAAUUGGUAGAAGUGUAUGGACACUCUGGGUAACUGAACAGAUUUCUUGAUGGCGGAGACCAUCUUUGUUUGGAACACGUUUUCUCGUGAUUUCUUCUACUGAUCUCUCAAAAGAAAAUUGGUACCGAUGUUCCCCAAGUGGCCUGAACAAUCAAAAAACAUGGUCCUGAUGACCUGACAGUGAAACCCUGGAAGGCUCUGCUGUUGUCCUGCUGUAAAAGGGAUUCUUCUUACGAGGGCUCUCUGCAACAGGAGGGCAAUACCUCCCUUGGUGUGCAAGAAGUCUCACUUGAUUUUGUCGCAGUAUUUGGAGUUCAUGUCACCCUUCUGCUGUUCCUUGCCGUCCAGGUUGACAGUGGCAGGUGUCUCUUCCUUCAGCCAGAAAGUUCUUUCCAACCGGCUAACAGCCUGUGCUCUCCUGUGAAAUGCAAUCCCCAUAUAAAUGUGCUGAAGCUCCGGGAAGUAAGAAACGGGAAUUGUGCCAUCUUUUUGCAUGUUCAGGGCCACCUUGUGUCAAUGGAGAUGCACAGCACCAGCACAGUCUAAGCCUUCCCUCCCAGUGGUCAGGGAUCCAUCCUUACAGGACACCAAUACAUUGAACAGUGGCUACAUCUAUCACCAGUAUAUUUUCCCAAAGCCAAGAGCACGGCUGUGAUGGGGCUGAACGGUGAAUGGAAAGGUUGUGAUAACAUCUUGCGAGCAUUGGGUGUAAGGUGGGCUUUUCCUAAUGGGAGAAUAAGACUGUUCAGGAAGACCCUGGUUGUACCUGUCUACAGCUGAAAGAUCUUGAGGACUGGCCAUUUUGAUGCAAAGGUGGGACAAGAUCCUUGGAAAACCAGUUGUGAGAAUUAGAAGUGGACUCUGUCACUGUGAAAGCAACUUAACUGCCUCCCAUUUUGGCAUUUAUAGGCUGCUACAAGGGGCUUUGUGAUAUUACCGGAACGUGUCAGUUUGAUGCUGCCUCUGUUGCAUUUGUCCUUCAGUCCGUUAUUCAACCAAGAGCCCCCUCAUCUCUCAGGGGUGUGCGAUGCUGGGACUCACCUGCACGGUGAAUGAAACUGUAGGCAAGCUCUUGAAGCAGAAUGAAGUAAUAUCUACCCCUUGUAAAGAUGUAAUCUCAGUAGGUACUCUGAUACUUGUCCUAUCAAGGCCCAGAAGGAUUCCCUGGAAAUCUGGUGUUGAGAUGGAGGGACAUGAAACAAUGCUUUUAUGGCUGCAGGUACUUCUGUGGAGGGGAGUGGGAGCCUGUGGAUCUCCCUACAGGUAUUGCAGAAGAGAAAAAAAAAUUGUGCUACCUCUGCUUGUGACUACACAUGUGAACGCAGUAGCACCACAUUGAAAAGGAUCAGUUAGAGAUGCUUUUCCAUGACUUGAUCUCAUCGUAAGACCACACUUUUUUCAUUUUUGCCUUUAGCAGUCAGACUACUGGCUGUACUGGCAUAGGUCCUUGAAAACCAUUAGCCUGAUAGUAUUUUAGUAGCUUGGAAACCAUAAUGAAGAGUGCCACCUACAAAAAAUUAGUGCUGGAUAAGAUGGUAGCUCCCAUCUCAAGCCAAGUCUGAGGAGGUUGAACUUACUGGCUUGGCAAAGUGUGUGCACGUAGUACGUGGCAGGGGCCGUUAACAGAAUAGAAUUUGCCGUACUGUGGACUAUAUAAGGGACUACACCAUUACAUCCCUUCUCCCACGGAAGUUCAGCUGUCCAACAUGGGGAAGGUUUAUCACCUGGACGAAGCUGUUGCACUCAUCAGAAGCUGAAAUACAUGAAGUUGUUGAACUGCAGUAUCAGAAUAUAUGUAUAGCUGCUUAGUGUACACAUUUCUGCAUUCUUCUUCUGCCACUUAUUAGCUGUUAAUUCUUCUAACUUAAAUUUCACUUUUCCAUAUUUUACAAUAUUUGACUUUUUUUUUUGUAACUUGUGAUGUUUUUCAUGUUUGAUAAAGAAACAUGAAAUUUGUUCCACUAAACUCGAAAUGCAGAGACGCUACCAGAAGGAUUUAUAGAUAGAUAAACAAGCCUUGUUUAAUUAAAGGCAUACCAGCUAAAGAAAUGGCCAGACAAUGAAUUCUUUAAACUUCUCUCUUGUUACUUAAUUCGAGAUAACAUAGUUCGUUAGUCUUCAGCUUUGAUCCAGAAGCACACGGAUUCAAUUUCUGUCUCCCUUUCCAGACCCACCCGUCACACAUAGAUAAUAAUCAGGGAUAGUUUUACCUUUCCUAAACUAAGUUUAGAAGCGUGAAAGGCUCAUGGUGGCCACUGGAGGUCACUGUAGCUCUACAAAAAAAAAAAAAAAAAAAAAAAAAAAAGACCUAUUGAUGAACAACUGACUAGAGAAAGGUUUAAAGACUGAGCAUUCUGGGAAUUUCUGUAUUUAUGGUGUGAAGACUGUGGGAUAAACCCAAUAAAAUCCUAUUGCAAAAUGUGA